ensembl:lncRNA
AAGAGAAACAAAACAUGUGUUUGCUCAACUCUAGCGAUGCAGUGCCGAGGCAUGCCUGCAGACUUCUUGUACAGUGCAGAAUCUCUCAGCUGCACGAUGACACCUUCCCCAGCUCCUAUCCUAGAAUUUUGGGCAUCAACUCUCAUGCUCAGUUAUGUAUUUUCACAAGCAGCAUCAGAGUAGCAGACAGCAGGAAAGCUGAAAAUACUAGAAAUUCAAGAAAACUACUGUUGCAUUCUGUUUCUGUGUCAUCACUGGGCGUAGAAAAUGGACCAAGGAGCUCCUGGUGAUUGCAGCCAAACUCCAGAGGAUCCCAGGCUGGUCUCCAGGAGGGACGUCUGCAGGAAGCCAAAGGCUGGGCAAGGGGUUAAUGCGAAAGAAACAAGCUUUUGAAAACCUUUCAGGCUGCAUUCAGUGAUGCUGAUAACAUCAGGUUAUAACAUCUGCAGGAGGGGGAAACUAUAACUGCACAGCAGACCUUGGUAGGUGGGUCUGGAGCUGCUGUGGACUUACUGAAACUUGGCAGGUUUUGGUAUUUAUCGAGGGAUGCAGAAAUAACACUCCCAGUGUGUGGCUCUCUUUUAAAAACAAGCCAUGUAGUGAGGCUUCCUCUUUCCUUUUGUGUGGGCUUUCAGGAGGGACACCACUUGUGACAGCCAUUUGGAGGUGUUGGUCCCCCCUUACCCCAGCAUCAUAACCCGUGGGAUGAAGAGCAUUAGUGCCACGUUUCUGGUAGAGCGUUACGGAGUGUGGCGAUCCUGUCCCCUGAAAAAUUUUGAAAUAUGGCAGCAGACAGGUGUUGUAGCCCAAUAAUAGGAUGAAGCCAGAAUGAAGUAUUUAAACAUUACCCGAAUGAAGCUGGAACCUCCCUGUCCAGUUUCCUCUCUGUCAAACUUAUUUGGAGUUAAUGUGUUCCUGUAAACGCAUUUUCAUUUUGAUAAAAAAGGUAUUAUUUUUUCCAUCAGAGCAUUGUUUUGUUGAGAAAUUUUAUCUGGUUUUACUUUGCAGUUGUAGAACACAAUAUUCUACAUUACAUCUUUACAAAAGCUGAUGAGGAUACUGCCCCUGCAGGAGACAACCCCUUUCCUGAGUGAAUAGUGAGGGUUUUACUUCAGGGUGGGGUGAGGAGAAAGUAAAAAAAAAUCCAAUCCAACCCAGAAUGACAACAUUUCGUUGUCCUCCUGUUGAAAUGAGAACCAUUCAUUCCAGAUUGGAAGAAAAGGAUUGCUCUACUCGUGUCAUUUAAUUUUAUUUCCAUUCUGAGCAUCCCUUGGCAAAAAUGAGGCAAUUGCAGCAAAUGCUGGGUUUAGGCACAUCUCACAGGUUGCUGUGGAUGGUUCUUGCCUUUUAUGCCAUAUAACUGAGCACGAAGACACCUCUUCUGGUGCUUGGGGCACUCGGAGAACCCAGUUUAACCUUGUCUUUCAUCAGAUGGCAUGCACCUCCACGUGUCCCUGGAGGUUGCCCUAACACCAUGAGUCAGGCAGUAUCCUGGGAUGGAAAAAUGCCAUCUCUCCUGUUGAUGGUUUCCAGUAGCUAUAAAGCACUCCAAUGUUUAUUGGAACAAAGGCUGGAACAUAAGGGUUUGUCCUCCGAGCCCAAUGCCCUCACCAGAUGACGACUGAGUUGGCUCGUCGCGUGUUUUAGUCUUUGUGGAAAUUAUAUCAAUUCCAGCAGGAGAAAAAUGAGGAAAUUUUACCCCUGAGUGCCCAGAACCAUGCUGGUAACGCAGCUCUCCCAAAAAGCUGUGAGUCUUGGUGCAGGUCCUCCUCUGCACCUGACCUGAAGCCAGGUUUGGUGUCACCAGGCACCUCUGGUUUCACCUUGUUGUGCUCCUAGGGGCCAGAGAGGAGAGGUGCAGAAGGGUCCCCAGUGCUUUCAAGGGAGGAGCAGGAGAUUUAAAAUGAAGUUGCAAUAUUAGCAAAUGUUUGCUCUAUAGGCAGUCCAUAGUGGUUUCUCCUGCCCUUGGAGACAUGAAACUUGCUGUGGUCCACUGGUCCUUGCCUCUUCCCCGCUACUUUUUUUAAUUGGCUAAUGCCCAAAUAAGCCAACCUCUGCAGUCACAAUAAGUAAUAUGAUGAAGAGGAUGAUUGAACAGGACUUGGUGUCAGAGAAGAAAACAGAGUGAUGCCGAUUUAAAGUCCCAGUAGCUCUCAUUUCAGGCCACAGGAGAGAAAGCAGAGAGGAGAGCUGCAGCGUGGGGACGUGGAGCCGUGGUGUGUGCUGGAGGAGAGAUGCUCACUGAGACGAGUCCGAUGGCUAAUGACUGGCACUAGGGGCUGCAGCUGAAGUUACCAGUCAGAGCGCUCAGCACACACUGAUAAAACUCUAGGGAGGUGACUUGCCUUGUCUCGUGCCAUUUCUUAAGCCCGUGUACUGUGAUGUAUGGGGGCAGAGGGGCAAAUGAUUUGUUUGUCUUAAUAAAUGUUCUUACAGCUCUGUGGUUUUACA